CCUACGGGGGGCAGCAGUGAGGAAUAUUGGUCAAUGGGCGCGAGCCUGAACCAGCCAAGUAGCGUGAAGGAUGACGGCCCUACGGGUUGUAAACUUCUUUUAUAAAGGAAUAAAGUGAGGCACGUGUGCCUUUUGGGAGGUACUUUAUGAAUAAGGAUUGGCUAACUCCGGGCCAGCAGGCGCGGUAAUACGGAGGAUCCGAGCGUUAUCCGGAUUUAUUUGGGUUAAAGGGAGCGUAGGUGGGUUGUUAAGGCAGGUGUGAAAGUUUGCGGCUUAACCGUAAAAUUGCAAUUGAUACUGGCAGCCUUGAGUACAGUUGAGGUAGGCGGAAUUCGUGGUGUAGCGGUGAAAUGCUUAGAUAUCACGAAGAACUCCGAUUGCGAAGGCAGCCUACUAACCUGCCACUGACGUUGAUGCUCGAAAGUGUGGGUAUCAAACAGGAUUAGAUACCCUUGUAGUC
rnacentral:rRNA from 1 species